CGGCGUGCCUAACACAUGCAAGUCGAACGAGAAAGCUCCUUCGGGAGUUAGUAGAGUGGCGCACGGGUGAGUAACACGUGGAUAAUCUGCCUGAUAAUCUGGGAUAACAUUUCGAAAGGGAUGCUAAUACCGGAUAAGCCCACAGCCUCUUCGGAGGCAGCGGGAAAAGAUGGCCUCUUCUUGAAAGCUAUUGUUAUCAGAUGAGUCCGCGGUCCAUUAGCUAGUUGGUAGGGUAAUGGCCUACCAAGGCAACGAUGGAUAGCUGGUUUGAGAGAAUGAUCAGCCACACUGGAACUGAGACACGGUCCAGACUCCUACGGGAGGCAGCAGUGGGGAAUUUUGCGCAAUGGGGGAAACCCUGACGCAGCAACGCCGCGUGAGUGAUGAAGGUUUUCGGAUCGUAAAGCUCUGUCAAGAGGGAAGAAACCUCCAACGGCUAAUACCUGUUGGAAUUGACGGUACCUCUAGAGGAAGCACCGGCUAACUCCGUGCCAGCAGCCGCGGUAAUACGGAGGGUGCAAGCGUUGUUCGGAAUUAUUGGGCGUAAAGCGCGUGUAGGCGGUUAGUUAAGUCUGAUGUGAAAGCCCCGGGCUCAACCUGGGAAGUGCAUUGGAUACUGGCAAACUUGAGUACGGGAGAGGGAAGUGGAAUUUCGAGUGUAGGGGUGAAAUCCGUAGAUAUUCGAAGGAACACCAGUGGCGAAGGCGGCUUCCUGGACCGAUACUGACGCUGAGACGCGAAAGCGUGGGGAGCAAACAGGAUUAGAUACCCUGGUAGUCCACGCCGUAAACGAUGGGUACUAGGUGUUGCGGGUAUUGACCCCUGCAGUGCCGAAGCUAACGCAUUAAGUACCCCGCCUGGGGAGUACGGCCG
rnacentral:rRNA from 1 species